CCCGGCACAAGCGGUGGAGUAUGUGGUUUAAUUCGAUGCAACGCGAAGAACCUUACCUGGUCUUAACAUCCCGGAGACCCUUAGGAAACUAGGGGGUGCUUCCAUCUGGAAGAAUCUGGAGACAGGUGCUGCAUGGCUGUCGUCAGCUCGUGUCGUGAGAUGUUGGGUUAAGUCCCGCAACGAGCGCAACCCUUGCCUUUAGUUGCCAGCAGUUCGGCUGGGCACUCUAAAGGGACUGCCGGUGUUAAACCGGAGGAAGGUGGGGAUGACGUCAAGUCCUCAUGGCCUUUAUGACCAGGGCUACACACGUACUACAAUGGCCGAUACAAAGGGCAGCGACACUGCGAGGUGAAGCCAAUCCCGUAAAAUCGGUCUCAGUCCGGAUUGGAGUCUGCAACUCGACUCCAUGAAGUUGGAAUCGCUAGUAAUCGUGGAUCAGCAUGCCACGGUGAAUACGUUCCCGGGCCUU
rnacentral:rRNA from 1 species